rnacentral:rRNA from 1 species
CUGGCGGCGUGCUAACACAUGCAAGUCGAACGCGAAAGGGACUUCGGUCCUGAGUAAAGUGGCGCACGGGUGAGUAACGCGUAGAUAACCUGUCUUCAUGUCUGGAAUAAUACGCCGAAAGGGGUACUAAUACCGGAUAUUCUUGCUUUUCAUAAGUUAUGCAAGCAAAGGUGGCCUCUGCAUAUGCUACUGCAUGAAGAGGGGUCUGCGUACCAUUAGCUAGUAGGUGGGGUAAUGGCCUACCUAGGCGACGAUGGUUAGCGGGUCUGAGAGGAUGAUCCGCCACACUGGCACUGGAACACGGGCCAGACUCCUACGGGAGGCAGCAGUGAGGAAUAUUGCGCAAUGGGGGAAACCCUGACGCAGCGACGCCGCGUGAGUGAGGAAAGGCCUUCGGGUCGUAAAGCUCUGUCAAGAGGAAAGAAGUGUACAAUGGCUAAUACCUGUUGUAUUUGACGGUACCUCUAAAGGAAGCACCGGCUAACUCCGUGCCAGCAGCUGC